rnacentral:rRNA from 1 species
UGAGGAAUAUUGGUCAAUGGGCGGGAGCCUGAACCAGCCAAGUCGCGUGAGGGAAGACGGUCCUAUGAUUGUAAACCUCUUUUGUCGGGGAGCAAAGAGGCCACGUGUGGUCAAAAGCGAGAGUACCCGAAGAAAAAGCAUCGGCUAACUCCGUG